UACAGAGGGUGCAAGCGUUAAUCGGAAUUAUUGGGCGUAAAGAGUGCGUAGGUGGUUAAAUAAGUUAGAUGUGAAAUUCUUGGGCUCAACCUAAGGACUGCGUUUAAUACUAUUUAACUAGAGUAUUGUAGAGGAAAAUGGAAUUUCCGGUGUAGCGGUGAAAUGCGUAGAUAUCGGAAGGAACACCAGUGGCGAAGGCGAUUUUCUGGACAAAUACUGACACUGAGGUACGAAAGCGUGGGGAGCAAACAGG
rnacentral:rRNA from 1 species